rnacentral:rRNA from 1 species
UGCGUAGGUGGUUUCUUAAGUCAGGAGUGAAAGGCUACGGCUCAACCGUAGUAAGCUCUUGAAACUGGGAAACUUGAGUGCAGGAGAGGAAAGUGGAAUUCCCAGUGUAGCGGUGAAAUGCGUAGAUAUUGGGAGGAACACCAGUGGCGAAGGCGGCUUUCUGGACUGCAACUGACGCUGAGGCUCGAAAGCCAGGGGAGCGAACG